UAGGGUAUAAUUCUUUGUUUUUUUGGUUAGUUUUUUUCUUUUGGAACAAUGCCUUGAUAUUGCAAUCUUGGUUUGAGUGUAAGUCGCUUCCUCUAAUGUUACUGUGGGAUAGUUUGCUUAUGUUGUGAAUGUUGUGAUUACAAGAGUGUCUUUUUGCAUAUGAUUUCCAUGACUGCAGUGAUUAUAUUUUGGACUUAGAGUUUUACAUAUGGUGACAGGAUAUAAUUUUCCUUAAGAUUACUAGAAGCUUAUCCCUAACAUUACAUUUUUGAAAUGUUAUUGUUAUAUUCUGGUGUUAAUCAAAUUGUUUUCUGCCAUACAUGUGAUAACCCAACAUGUCAAUCUUCUGUGUGCCAAACUCAUAUGGGUUGCAUCAUCUUUUCCUCUAUUUCUCUUCUUUCUUAUCUUUCAAUGGUAAAGUGAUGCAUUGGUGUGUUAUAUAGCUCUCUUAUAGGGUUGAAUUAUUUACUUGCUCCAUCUUUGUAACCUUAGGCUGCUAAAAAGAUGCUCCAGAUAACAUGUUGCACCUAGUUGGACCUUAGAAGACAAACUAGCUCUUCUAUUCAGCUCCAUGCAAUUAGUUAUUUGAUUUGUUGAAGCUAUUGGUUGAUUUAGAUGAUUUGAUUAUGCACUUCCUCAAUUUACAUAUAUCCUUAAUCAUCUCUUCCAAAAUGCCUUUUUUAAUGCAUUCAGAUCUUGCAUAUGCAGUUUGAUUUGUUUAGCCUCUGUUACUGAGAUUGUCCAUUUAAAAUUAUUUGAUGAUAAACUUCCCUUUGCCUGUGGUGGCCAUAUUUUCAGCACUAUUGAAUUUAGUCUUUUGGUCUAUGUCUGGAUCUUUAGGCACUAGAUUUGAAGCCAAACUAUGUGCGUGCUUGGGCAAACAUGGGUAUCAGUUACGCCAACCAGGUUUGAGUUUUUGUUGGAUGCAUGGUUCAGGAUUAGCUGAAUUCAUGCAUAGUGACGACUUGUUUGAGCUAAUUGCUGAUCUUAAAGUGUGCAUUCUAUCAUUAUUUUGUUCUUUUUGUAUUUUGUUAGAUUUCUGGUGUAGUAUGAUAAGUGCGGUAUUUUGUUUGACUGUUAUUGAUAAACUUUCUAUUUGGUUGGAUAUAUAUUUAUAUUAUAGAUAUUAUUCUUCUUCUCAA